GGGUAUCCGUCGCCUCGAUACUGCGACGAUACAAAAUUACAACGGCUCAUAGAGCUAAAUCAGGUAGUGUAAACAGGUGACAGAUCCAAAUCGCUGGUUUUCUCCUAAGUCAAUUUUCAAGUCCAACAUGUAUAUUUAUGGUUUACUAAUCAUGUCCUCAAUGCUGAUUUCAUCCAUGAUACAAUCAACGCAAUUGAGCUACAACAU
rnacentral:lncRNA from 1 species